UACAGAGGUCUCAAGCGUUGUUCGGAUUCAUUUGGGCGUAAAGGGUGCGUAGGCGGCGCGGUAAGUCGGGUGUGAAAUCUUUGGAGCUUAACUUCGAAACUGCAUUCGAUACUGCCGUGCUUUGAGGACUGGAGAGGAGACUGGAAUUUACGGUGUAGCGGUGAAAUGCGUAGAUAUCGUAAGGAAGACCAGUGGCGAAGGCGGGUCUCUGGACAGUUCCUGACGCUGAGGCACGAAGGCCAGGGGAGCAAACGGGG
rnacentral:rRNA from 1 species